CAGUAGCCGCGGGAAAACGAAGGGGGCUAGCGUUGUUCGGAUUUACUGGGCGUAAAGCGCACGUAGGCGGAUCUUUAAGUCAGGGGUGAAAUCCCGAGGCUCAACCUCGGAACUGCCUUUGAUACUGGGGAUCUCGAGUCCGGGAGAGGUGAGUGGAACUGCGAGUGUAGAGGUGAAAUUCGUAGAUAUUCGCAAGAACACCAGUGGCGAAGGCGGCUCACUGGUCUGUAACUGACGCUGAGGAGCGAAAGCGUGGGGAGCGAACAGGAUUAGAUACCCCCGUAGUCCCUGUCUCUUAUAC
rnacentral:rRNA from 1 species